rnacentral:rRNA from 1 species
UACGUAGGCAGCAAGCGUUGUUCGGAGUUACUGGGCGUAAAGGGUGCGUGAGGCGGUUGUUUAAGUUUGGUGUGAAGUCUCCCGGCUACAACUCGGGAGGGUGCGCCGAAUACUGAAUGACUAGAGUGCGGGAGAGGAGAGUGGAAUUCCUGGUGUAGCGGUGAAAUGCGCAGAUAUCAGGAGGAACACGGUGGCGAAGGCGGUGAUCCGUGGGCCGGCAACUGACGCUGGAGGAGCGAAAGCGUGGGGAGCAA